CACGUAGGGAGCAAGCGUUGUCCGGAUUUAUUGGGCGUAAAGAGCUCGUAGGCGGCUCAGUAAGUCAGGUGUGAAACCUCCAGGCUCAACCUGGAGACGCCACCUGAUACUGCUGUGGCUUGAGUCCGGUAGGGGAGCGUGGAAUUCCUGGUGUAGCGGUGAAAUGCGCAGAUAUCAGGAGGAACACCAGCGGCGAAGGCGGCGCUCUGGGGCCGGAACUGACGCUGAGGAGCGAAAAGCGUGGGUAGCAAACAGG
rnacentral:rRNA from 1 species